AAUAAAAAGUUUGGGUUUAAUCCUUAACCCAAACUUUUAAAGGAGGGUGAUCACUAUGUGAAUGGGGUGUUGAAGACGAAAAGUGUACAGUUAUGAAGCAGCAUUUCAGAAAAUUGAAAUACUGGCAUAUACUUCAAAUGCAGAAACAUAUGAAGAUAGCCUAGAUGAAUCACCUCCAUUAAAAAAUUCUAGAGGAAAGCAACUUAAAUUUAAAAAAAAAAGCAUCUAAUAAACACUGAUGAAGAAGAUGGUAAUGAAGAUGACUUGUUUGACCAAACCGAAAUUCCUCGCUUUUUAUCACAGCCAGUUGUUACAGAUGAAAAUAAUAUAUCAACAUCUAUCGCUACUAUUGGGACAAGAUUUGCUUGUGAUUAUAUUUAACAUUUGU
rnacentral:misc_RNA from 1 species